rnacentral:lncRNA from 1 species
AAAGUUAUAAAAGUAUUUUAUUUUAAUUCUUGAAAUAUGGUGAGUAGAACUUGGUAAUUAUUAAUAUAUUUCAUUAAUAAUUACAUUAUAAUAUUGUUAAUCUACCUAAUGAUAUGUAUUUUAUAUAAAUUAAGGAAAAUUCUAUCCCAAUUGAAAUCCAUGCUCAAAAAUUGAGUGAAUGGUUAAUGAGUAGAAAACACUGUAAGAAAGAUUGGCAUUCACAUAUACAAUUAAUUAGAGAAAAAAUCAACACAGCUAUACAAGACAUGCCCGAAAAUAAGGAAAUCGUUCAACUGUUGUCUGGAACUUGUAUGUAUUAAAAACCUUAUA